rnacentral:rRNA from 1 species
CCUACGGGGGGCUGCAGUGAGGAAUAUUGGUCAAUGGGCGCGAGCCUGAACCAGCCAAGUAGCGUGCAGGAUGACGGUCCUAUGGUUUGUAAACUGCUUUUAUGCGGGGAUAAAGUCCCUCACGUGUGGUGUUUUGUAUGUACCGCAUGAAUAAGGACCGGCUAAUUCCGUGCCAGCAGCCGCGGUAAUACGGAGGGUCCGGGCGUUAUCCGGAUUUAUUGGGUUUAAAGGGAGCGUAGGCCGGAUGUUAAGGUGGCCGUGAAAUGCCCGGGCUCAACCCUGGCACUGCGGUUGAAACUGGCAGGCUUGAGUGCGCGGGAAGUAAGCGGAAUGCGUGGUGUAGCGGUGAAAUGCUUAGAUAUCACGAAGAACUCCGAUUGCGAAGGCAGCAUACGGGAGCGCUACUGACGCUGAGGCUCGAAGGCGUGGGUAUCGAACAGGAUUAGAUACCCUUGUAGUC